UGGGGAAUCUUCCGCAAUGGGCGAAAGCCUGACGGAGCAACGCCGCGUGAGUGAAGACGGCCUUCGGGUUGUAAAGCUCUGUUAUACGGGACGAAUAAUCUUGUGGUUAAUACCCAUAAGAAGUGACGGUACCGUAAGAGAAAGCCACGGCUAACUACGUGCCAGCAGCCGCGGUAAUACGUAGGUGGCAAGCGUUGUCCGGAAUUAUUGGGCGUAAAGGGCGCGCAGGCGGCUUCUUAAGUCUGUCUUAAAAGUGCGGGGCUUAACCCCGUGAUGGGAUGGAAACUGGGAAGCUCAGAGUAUCGGAGAGGAAAGCGGAAUUCCUAGUGUAGCGGUGAAAUGCGUAGAUAUUAGGAGGAACACCAGUGGCGAAAGCGGCUUUCUGGACGAAAACUGACGCUGAGGCGCGAAAGCCAGGGGAGCGAACGGGAUUAGAUACCCCGGUAGUCCUGGCCGUAAACGAUGGGUACUAGGUGUAGGAGGUAUCGACCCCUUCUGUGCCGGAGUUAACGCAAUAAGUACCCCGCCUGGGGAGUACGGCCGCAAGGUUG
rnacentral:rRNA from 1 species